AGUCGAACGAUUAAGACUCUCUUCGGAGAGUGUAUAGAGUGGCGCACGGGUGAGUAACACGUAGGUAAUUUGCCUUCGGGUGGGGAAUAACUUGGGGAAACCCAAGCUAAUACCGCAUAAUGCAGCGGCACCAAAUGGUGACAGUUGUUAAAGCUUUAUGUGCCUGAAGAGAAGCCUGCGGUGGAUUAGGUAGUUGGUAAGGUAAUGGCUUACCAAGCCUGCGAUCCAUAUCCGGUCUUAGAGGACGGUCGGACACACUGACACUGAAUAACGGGUCAGACUCCUACGGGAGGCAGCAGUCGGGAAUUUUGGGCAAUGGGCGAAAGCCUGACCCAGCAACGCCGCGUGAAGGAUGAAGUCCUUCGGGAUGUAAACUUCGGAAGAAUGGGAAGAAUAAAUGACGGUACCAUUUUUAAGCCCCGGCUAACUCCGUGCCAGCAGCCGCGGUAAUACGGAGGGGGCAAGCGUUGUUCGGAUUUACUGGGCGUAAAGGGCGCGUAGGCGGCGUGACAAGUUACUUGUGAAAUCUCCGGGCUUAACUCGGAACUGCCAAGUGAUACUGUCGUGCUAGAGUGCAGAAGGGGCAAUCGGAAUUCUUGGUGUAACGGUGAAAUGCGUAAAUAUAAAGAGGAACACCAGAGGCGAAGGCGGAUUGCUGGGCUGACACUGACGCUGAGGCGCGAAAGCUAGGGUAACAAACGGGAUUA
rnacentral:rRNA from 1 species